AUGGACAUGGAUCAACAAAGAUAUUAUUAUUACAACAUGUUGAGGCGGAGAACUCUCUGUGUUAUUAUUCUACUCUUGGCCCUCUGGUAUAGAAGCAGAGAUGGUAGAAAAUUUAGAGGUAAAGGCAGGAAGUAUGGUCCAUUAGUUCAGAGAGGCAUCUACAGAACUAAUGUACUAAUUAGGCUCAUUGACACAUCGGAUGCAACAUGCAUCAAGCAAUUAAGGAUGACUCGAGCUGUAUUUUACAAGCUAUGUAACAGGCUUAGGCAGAAGGAGUUGUUAAGUGACACAUUUCAUGUUUCGGUAGAGGAACAAGUUGCAGUGUUCCUAUACAUGGUCGGUCAGCAUCACACAAAUUCGUCUGUUGGAUUUUGGUUCUGGCGAUCUAGUGAAACAGUGAGCAGAUAUUUCAAUAUUGUCCUGCGUGCGAUGGGGGAGUUAGCACGUAAACAAGAAGCGCAAGCACGUGUCAUCUUCACCUUCCAAGAAGCCAACUAA
rnacentral:rRNA from 1 species